UUUUCACAUAUACACCUUCCUUUACUUGAGUCUGCUGCUUCUGAUUCUGAAGAUCAUAACCUUCCAGUCAUUACCUCUAAUGAUUUCCAGACCAUAUUUCAGGACAACAAGCCCUGGCUAAUUCAGUUGUGCUCAUUUGAGAGCAAAAGCUGUGAUCAAUUUUCUCAUGCCUGGAAAAGAAUUGCUGGUUUCUUGGAUGGUGUGGCAAAUGCUGCUUAGGUAGAUCUUGAAGUGAUUCAGCUGGCAACAUAUCUUGCUGACAGAAAACCAACCGGCCAACCUUUCUUCAGGAAUGGCCUUCCUUCUUUUGUCCCUUUUCCCCAGGGAUGUAAAAGUGCCAAGUGCCUUAUUAGGUG